AGGUUCCUGGGACUUGAGCUAGCAGCUUACCUGCAGUCUUGCCUGCCUAUCUUGGGAUUUGUCGAUCUUUGCAUCCUGUGAGCAAGAUCCUUGCUUUCUGACCUGUUCAUCUUGGGUUGGUCAGCUCCUGUGGCUACAUGAAUCAGAAGAAGCCUCUAUUCUGACCCACGGAUUUGGGAAGUUCCAGCCUCUACGACCAAAUGAUUUUGUUCUCAAGCUUAUUUCCUCAUGGACCCACAGUGGCUGCUGCAGCUCCAAAAAAUACAAUGCAGAAGGCAUCUUCUUUCAAUUUUCUAGGCAUGCUGCUGAAGUUUCCCAUCAAUGAAUAAGAUCGCUGGGAACUUUCAUGUUAGUAAUGGAGAACUCUGGGAGCUCAGGUACUUGGAAUUACCCAACAAUUCAGAGCCAGA